ensembl:lncRNA
UGAGCAGCGAUGAACGAACAGUAUGAUGUAUUCUGUUUACCCAGAGUUUAGAAUGACCCAGGGUUAAAAAUUGUGAUAAAGCCCGAGAGAGAGUAGGCUACGCGAUUUUGGUUCCAGCCGUCAACGUGCAUAUUCCGUUAAUUAAACCGCUGUUUUAAGUGAUUCAUCAAAAGAACCAACUCAUGAGAGUCAUUUGCUUGGGAACUGUACUUGCACUGGUAGGCUACCUAUAUUUGAUUCACAAAAAGAGUCGAUUUAUUAGUUUGAUAAUCGGACUAAAUUGACCGGGUUGUAUGUUUUCGUUACACACACACACACACACACACACACACACACACACACACACACACACACACACACACACAGACAAGAGUCGUAAAGUCAUUACUUUAGUUGCGUUUGACUGACUAAAAAGCAACCAGUUCAGAGGAGUCAUUCGUUGAGGAAUCAGGCUACACUGAUCCAGUUGCACCCCCCCCAGUCUCUCUCUCUCUCUCUCUCUCUCUCGCGCGCGCGCGCGCCAGCGCCAGCUCAGUCCGUAUCUCCAUCGGUCUGAGUCCUCAGCGCUGGCAAGGGAUAACAAACUGCUUUUCCGCAGCAAUACGUGGUCAACGGAACAGCCCACAGAGUGGACAUUCACAGAAGAUUUGGGUGUUUUGAAGGCAGGGUCUUCCCUGGUUGGUUGUGAAGAUCUAAGUAAACAAAGCUUGUUACUGUGGCAUAACUGGCCUUUGGAUCUGAAAAGUGGCAGCAGAGUCCUAUUGAAACAAGAAGCCUCCAGAACCAUCCAAAAUAUCCUAUAAAGAUGGAAUUCAAAUUAAAACCUUGAAUGCUGAUUUAUUAGAGUGAAAAGUGAAAGAGCGGUUCUUGGGAGGGUAGGUGGCUGGAGCUGUGCCAGUCACGACUGGAAGGAGGAGAGAGUGAGCGAUAGAUAAGACGAGGAAAGAAA